CGUAGGUGGCAAGCGUUGUCCGGAUUCAUUGGGCGUAAAGGGCGCGUAGGCGGCGCAACAAGUCACUUGUGAAAUCUCCGGGCUUAACCCGGAGCGGCCAAGUGAUACUGUCGUGCUAGAGUGCGGAAGGGGCUACUGGAAUUCUCGGUGUAGCGGUGAAAUGCGUAGAUAUCGAGAGGAACGCCUGCGGCGAAGGCGGGUAGCUGGGCCGACACUGACGCUGAGGCGCGAAAGCCAGGGGAGCGAACGGGAUUAGAUACCCCGGUAGUCCUGGCCUUAAACGAUGGAUGCUUGGUGUCCGGGGUUACAUAGUCCCCGGGUGCCGGCGCUAACGCAUUAAGCAUCCCGCCUGGGGAGUACGGUCGCAAGACUG
rnacentral:rRNA from 1 species